AUACGUAGGGUGCGAGCGUUGUCCGGAAUUACUGGGCGUAAAGAGCUCGUAGGUGGUUUGUCGCGUCGUCUGUGAAAUUCCGGGGCUUCACUCCGGGCGUGCAGGCGAUACGGGCAUAACUUGAGUACUGUAGGGGAGACUGGAAUUCCUGGUGUAGCGGUGAAAUGCGCAGAUAUCAGGAGGAACACCGGUGGCGAAGGCGGGUCUCUGGGCAGUAACUGACGCUGAGGAGCGAAAGCAUGGGUAGCGAACAGGAUUAGAUACCCUGGUAGUCCAUGCCGUAAACGGUGGGCGCUAGGUGUAGGGGUCUUCCACGACUUCUGUGCCGUAGCUAACGCAUUAAGCGCCCCGCCUGGGGAGUACGGCCGCAAGGCUAAAACUCAAAGGAAUUGACGGGG
rnacentral:rRNA from 1 species